CGGCAGCACGGGGGCAACCCUGGUGGCGAGUGGCGAACGGGUGAGUAAUACAUCGGAACGUGUCCUGUAGUGGGGGAUAGCCCGGCGAAAGCCGGAUUAAUACCGCAUACGCUCUACGGAGGAAAGGGGGGGAUCGCAAGACCUCCCGCUACAGGGGCGGCCGAUGGCAGAUUAGCUAGUUGGUGGGGUAAAGGCCUACCAAGGCGACGAUCUGUAGCUGGUCUGAGAGGACGACCAGCCACACUGGGACUGAGACACGGCCCAGACUCCUACGGGAGGCAGCAGUGGGGAAUUUUGGACAAUGGGCGAAAGCCUGAUCCAGCAAUGCCGCGUGUGUGAAGAAGGCCUUCGGGUUGUAAAGCACUUUUGUCCGGAAAGAAAACGCCGUGGUUAAUACCCGUGGCGGAUGACGGUACCGGAAGAAUAAGCACCGGCUAACUACGUGCCAGCAGCCGCGGUAAUACGUAGGGUGCAAGCGUUAAUCGGAAUUACUGGGCGUAAAGCGUGCGCAGGCGGUCCGCUAAGACAGAUGUGAAAUCCCCGGGCUUAACCUGGGAACUGCAUUUGUGACUGGCGGGCUAGAGUAUGGCAGAGGGGGGUAGAAUUCCACGUGUAGCAGUGAAAUGCGUAGAGAUGUGGAGGA
rnacentral:rRNA from 1 species